rnacentral:lncRNA from 1 species
GAUGGUGGAGAUGGAAGAAGUAAAAUCACCAAAAUCAUCAACCACAGACCAAUUACCAUUCAGCAGCCCCACCAGGUGGGGAUGCGAGGAAUAUAUUCUGUUCAUUUCUUACGUCAUAGGCAUGUCGGUAAGGUAUCUGCCGGCGGAGGACAUCGACGGUUACCCCAUUCCGACCAUCAUCUUCAAAGGUCAACCGAAGACAUACCAGACUUUUUUGUUGGGAAUCGUGGGAGCCUUCAGUUUCUCAAUUGCUACCAUCUACAUACGCCAGCCCACUCCAAAGCUGGCUGCCUAUGUCAGACGAUUUGCUAUUUUCUCCAUGGCCUCUUCGCUAUCGCUUGCAUUGUGGGCUGCCGGUCCGGCCCAUUGGAUACUACCCCUUUAUAAUUGACAACUUCCUCCGUACCAUCAUCAGCACCACCUCUUUUUUUUUUUUUUUUUUUUACCCUUUUUCCAGUCUUUCUUUUGUUGCUUUGAAGUCUGCCGAGAUAACGAAAAUAUGUGUUUGGAUGGGGGUUUAUUUGAAAUAAUUAUUAUAAUAUAUUUUGUAAUGGGAUAUAUGUGAGAUAAAAAAUAAUUAAAAAAAUAAAGAAAUGUAUUGAAAUUUGUAUUGCAAAUUAUUUUUUCUCAAAUCAUUCCAAUCCAAACACUUAUAACUAGCCAAACACAAACCUUGUAUUUAGAGAAAUCGUGCAAUCGGCUUUCAAAUUAUUACUUUUGUAUGUUUUCCACCCUUCAUUUAUUUUAUAUAAUAAUUAAGCCUCUAUGUAAGAAUUUGGCCCUUCUUGUACCCAAAAAAAAAAAAAAAAAAAAGCAAACCGUUUGACCUCACUACACCACAGCCUUACACUAGCUUUAUUAUUCCUAGAAUUGAAAAAAAUAUAUAUAUAUAUAUAUAAAGGAUAAGAAAUCCAGUCAAGAGCUUACCGAUGCCUAAUGAACUGAGAAACCAUAAUUUGUUCUGUAUGGAUACAAAUGAGCUAUAUAUAGAUAUAUAUGGUCGUCUAUUAGUAGCAUUUUAGUUAUUUGUUGAUAGACAUGACUAUAUGAGAAACUUGAAUGAAGUACAUGAACAAGUGCUGCCAAUUAGGGAUGGCAAUUGGGUCCAAAUUGACUUAACGGGUUGGGUUGAGAUCCGGGUAUAAUAGAAAAUCCGCUGACCUGCAUCAAACCCGUCAACUCGAAACAGGUCAGAAUACCAGACUUGAACCCGAAAAUUUCGGGUUGACGGGUUGGCAGGUUGAUCCGAAAUGACCCGAAAUGACCCGAAAUUGAAUUUUAAUUUAUUAAUUUACCAUUGUAAUUUCUAAUAAAACCAAUUUUGCUCAAGACUAAUUACAUAAUCAAGUAAUAAAAUUUUAAAUAAAUAAUCCCAAAUCAAAUCUAAAAUAAAUAAAAACACCAUAAAAGUGUUUUAUCCCAAACCAAGUAUAAAAUAAAUUAAAACAAUACAAAAGUAAAAAAUAAUAUAAUACAUUAUUUAUCCAAAUAUAAUAAUUUCAACUUCACACAAGUAAAUUAAAUUCAUUUAGGAUUAAGUGAUUAAUGCCUUUGGAAAAAAAGAAUAACUUAGUUUAGUUAGAUAAAAUAAAUUUUAUAUUUAUUAUAUUAUUUUUAAUUCAUAAACGGGUUAUCGGGUCACCCAAUGGCUGACUCGAAUUCGACCCGUUUUCUUUUCGGGUUCAUCGGGUUCGACCUGAACCCACAAAACCUCAAGCCAAAUCCAUUAAUUUCGUGUUAGAUUCGUGUCGUAUUUUCAGGUCAUAUAAAAAAUUGCCACCCCUACUACCAAUGGACUAAAAAAAAAGUUAUCAGUAUUAUAUUUAGACUUCGUUUGACAAAUGAGUUUUGUGAGUGUUUGUUUAAAAUAUUACUAUAUCUUACUAUAAAAAUUGUAGAAAAAAUUUUUGAAGUGUAUAAAUUUUUCAAUAUUUUAAAAUGUAUAAUUUAAAAUUUUAAAAUUACUGUAAUUAAAAUUAUUAAAAAUUUUGCAACAGUCAAACGUGCUUGGCAAACCGGCCCUAGUCACCUAUCUUCUUGUUGUUUGUUUCAAAUCCCAUCGGGCCCAAGGUACACUACGCUUUCUCAACGCCAAUAAAAUAAAAUGCUAGUGGCAAAAACACUUGAAGAACUAUAUAGUUUUCCUUGGUUACUAUACAACAACCAGACAAACGAACGUAUCGCAGGAGAGAAAAAUCGUACGGAAAUAUCCCAUUCCUAAAUCCAUCCCCAGGGGAUAACUCACUCCCUUCAAUCUUUGCAUAUUACUCAGGGGAGUAGAUUCGUUUUUCUUUUAUUUUUUAUUUCUAUUUUGGGCUCUUUUGGGUUCACCAAGAACGGCUGCCCGUAUCGUUCUUAGCCGAUGGCGGAAGUCACCGACCUACGCCUCUCCGACCAACAAAAUCUAUCCGCCCCUGCCACCACUAUCGGCGACAGCGCCGUCGCCUUUGCGGAGGACGAGGAUGAGGAGCCACAACCCGAUGUUUACGCCUUAAAUUUCCAUUCCCUCUCUCCUCCUAAUCCUUCCUUCUUGAUUGAUGACAACCUCAAUUUCACCGCCAUUUCAGAAUCCGAAUCCGGCUCUCAGCAUUCCGAAUCUGUUCACUCCGACCAGAAUUUCCUCUACUACAGCCCAGAAGACGACGACGACGACGAUCAAAUGAAUUUCGUUACGGAUUUAUUCGCGACCCGCCAUGGUAUCCCCGACCAUGGACUGUGUAAUUCUGAAUCCGGGUGUACUUGUCUGGACGAAGAACCCGAAUUAGUUUUAGGUGCACAGGCCGAAUGCAAUGGGGUUGAUGCUCUUCCGUCAAUGGUCGGCGGUCUUCGAAUUGUGAACAUGGAAUCGGAGUCCGACUCGGAAGCUGCGGAGAUCCAUUCUAGGGUUGAUAGAGCAAAUGAUCAUGAUGGGUUGAAUCCAAAUUAUGAUGACUUGGACGAGUUUUGGGAUUGCCCGCAAUUUGAUAGUCAACGGGCGAGGGCUUUUUUUAACGAAGAAUUCGAAUGGGAGGAAGUGAAUGUUAGGGAAAAUCUGAGUUCUUUGAUUGAUCGAAUAGAGGAAAUUUCAGUUUCCUCUGACACUGAAAAUUCGACUUUUGAUACUGGUGGUGGAGAACAUGAUGAAGAAAAUGCAAGAAACGUGGAAUGGCAGGUCCUAUUAGCAGUUAACAAUCUGGAAAUAGCAGUUGGUUUUGAUGAAUAUAUCGUCCUGUUUGGGGAACAUGUUGAUGCAGAGAGUACUGUUAAGGGUGGUCCGCCAGCUGCCAAAUCCGUGGUUGAAAAUUUGCCUUCAGUAGUUUUGACGACGGAGGAUUUAAUGGCAAAUGAUGUGGUUUGUGCAGUUUGCAAAGAUGAGAUUUCUCUGGGGGUGGAGGUGACUAGGCUACCCUGUAGUCACCAUUAUCAUCAGGACUGCAUUAUGCCCUGGCUAAGCAUUCGUAAUACAUGUCCUCUUUGUCGCUUUGAGUUACCUACAGAUGAUGUGGAUUAUGAGAGAAGAAAGAAUAGAAAUGGCGCUGGCACUAGCCUGAUUGGUGAUUUGCAAUUUAGUAAUUAUCAACUUUUACCCUGAGAGUGUCCGUAGAUUGUCAAUUGUGGAGGAUAUCUUUAGGCAGAUGAUAUUUUAGGUCUUGGUGAAGAUACCGACGUUUUCUUCUUGUGCAUUUUCGAAUGUUGUAAUGGUAAAGUCACAAGCUUUACAGUUAGUGGAGUGUUACAUUGGGAAAUUUUGUGCUUUUUGCCAUUGAAUAAAUCAUGUCUUGUUGCGAUGUAAGUAUGAUAGAGAGUUACAUGUAGUGUAAAACCACUGUUUAUAUGAAUGAACCGUUUUAACUUUAUGGACCAUGGUUACGUUCUUUCUUCUUCCUUUGGCAUUUGAUUUCUCCGCUAGUGAAGCUGCAUGAGCUUCUGCACUUGGUGUUUUGCUGGUCCGGAUAUGGAUUGUGUUUUUAACGAAUUGGAUUUAUUUUCGACGUGUUUGUUGCAUCUUUGUUCUUAUAAUGAUUGCUAGGCUGUAAAAGUAGAGUUUUGGGGUUAUCAUCAGUUCAUUUCUCCUCCCAGGCUCAAUUUGAGAGGUAAAGUUUGUUGGCAGCUAGAUCUUUUGCAUGAGCGGUCAAGCUUUUAGCCUUUUGCACGAAUUGAUCGGGAGUUCUGUAAUCUACUCAGAUACAUUUUUUUGUUAAUUUGAACUGAAGAUUAUGAAGGUAAAGUAGUGCUGGUGCUUAAGUUCCUUUAAGUAAUAGUUCAAUACAGUUUAAAUACAUGAUUUGCUAUAACUGCAUGUGGCGCUGGCUCUUAAGCAUUUCAACAUACUUGAAGAACUGAGGGUCAACAUAUGGCCACCCAUUACAGGUGGGAAAUUUGAUCUGUCUUUUGGUACUUGAUGAAUUGACCAAGGUUAUGGACAUUAUGUGUAAUCUUAAGCUGAAGCUCUUUAUCCCACCAACUGCAUUCGAGUCUUUUUGACAUUUUAUUCAGUUCUCAUGCUGUUUAGCCAGCAGGAUACUUUGAAAUCUGCUAAGCUAGUUACUGAAAGUUGGCCAUCUACCACAGCCCUUUGCAUGCAGAUGGAUGAACCACCUUUUAGUAGCCUAUUCAUUUCCAUCUUUGUUUACAAUCUGUUGUUGACAAGCUCUGAUCUGAAUCCUUAUAACAUGAAUGUCUUCGUGUCUCUAUUUGGCAUCUGAAAUGUACCAAAAGCUCUUACGCUGUUUACAAUCUCUUGUGGUUUGUGGUAAAUGGCUGCUUUGUGGAUGCUUCUGAUUCUAGUUGUAUAUUUAAUUUAAAUCUGCUCCAAGGGUUGGGACAAUUUUUAUGAUAAAAAUGAAGAUACAGAUUUCUUCCCACACACUUUAGAAUGAAUGUGGAAUUAAACGAUGGUGCAAGGAAAAUAUUAUUGUGGCCAUCCUGGAACUUUUUAACUGUCUUUUUUUGUUUUUGUUGGCUCCGUCUUACAAAAUCAAGCUAGCUUUAUCCUGGUUAUAAAAGAUUCUUUGGGAGUUGGACGACAGAUACCAGGCAUUUGUAGCCAAAACGGGGGGAAGGAAAAAGACACAGGUUGCCUGAGAAAAAUGGAAUCCCAUGCAAAUGAAAACGAUGGGAUGGCUCCGGAUCCUCUGUCUACUUUGUCCGCCUAAAUCAGUACGACGUAGUGUUUGUCAAAAACUAUCUCGUGCAGCUCCUUGAAGACAAAACUUUAUCACCCUCAUCAUUCAUCGAGCAAAAUCCAGUCCUGCUUUUUUCAUUCAACAAUACAGCUACAAGAUUUAAUAAAAUUGUGUCUUCCAACCAUCCAACUACAAGAUCUAGUAAGCUUGUAUGAUUAAUCCUCUGAGUAUUAGAAGAACUCCUACACGACGACACCGCUGAAUCACCUGAGAUGACACCGCUGGGAUUUUGAUUGGUCUCUUAUAUGUCCACAUUUUGUGGUGCUCGACUUCUUUGUUUAUGGGAGAUACAGAUUAGUCCGGAGGAUGAUUCCCUCUGAACCGCCAUGAAUUGCAGUCGGUCGAACGUCAAAGCCACUUCAUUAAACUGGUAGUGUCACUUGGGCUCCUUUUGGGUAAACACUGCCAUUAAGGAGGAUGUAUGGUACUCACUAUUAAUAGUAGCAGCAUAUCAAGAAAGCGUUGAUGAAAAAAUAGAGGAGGGUGGGGGGUAUUAAACGCCCUUAUUUUUUUUUUUUAACUGAAACGGUAGUUUUUAUUGAUUGAAAACUAAACUGUACAAUUCUUGAGCAAAGGCUCAUCUUGAGCUUUACAAACAUGUACUAAGAUACGGAGGAAACCAACAUUCCUCAUCUUGUGUUAAACUAACAGCAUGAUUGCUAAUCAUUCUGCUUCUCUACUUCUUUUAAACGCCAUUACAAGUAGUCAUUUUUUACAAGAUUGGAUUUUCAAGGUCCGGCUGUUUGGCCUUCUGGUGCCCAAAGAGCCAAUCAAACAGAGCACUCAAAAUUGUCUAGAAGCCAGCUUGUGGCUUUGGCUAUUGCUAGUGGCUUUGAUUCAAAAAAAAAAAACAGGAUGUGUAUCAGAAGAGUGAAGACUAGGGAGGAGAGGGUAUUAAUGGCUUCAUUGAUUGUGGGAUUGAAUCAUUUAAAGCUAAUUGAAAUCAAAAGCUAAAGCUGAAUGAGGAUAGGGCUUCCGAAUAACUUUUUUUUAAAAAAAAAAUUGGGCUAUCCGCAAUUCUCAAGAGAGGAGGGAGCGAAAUCUCAAGAUCUCAUCUUGAUUGUAUAGGAGAAAUAAGUGAAAAUAUUAUUGAAAAUUCAGGCAUGAAAUUGCUUAACCUCAAGGCUUGUUAUGGUUGAUUAGAACUCGAGUAGCAUUAAGAUUGACUUUCUUCGCAACUGUAAUGCACCCGUGGACGGAAGUAAAAGUAAACUAACGGGGAAACACAUCGAGUUUUGCCCAUGAAGUUGCCUUGAUGGUAGGAAACCGUUUUUGAUAACAAGGAUUGAUGUUGCCAUGAUUCAGAAGCUAAAACUUUUCUGGUCUCACUCACUCACGGUUUUGGCUCGGGGUUGGGGGGUUUUUUGGGUUUGUCAAAGCCUCACUCAAGAUUGGGUCCUGAUCAAACCCCAAUAUACAUUCUCAUCAUUCACAAUUCGACGAGGAUUAUAUUCUUAUCAUGUCACAAAAUUAAGCAGGGUAGCAACAUGAUACCAAGCAAUGUCUAUACAUCAGGGUGCAUAUCAGCCCUCUAAUGUGAGGCUACUGCAAUUUAGCUUCAGGCAGAUUCUGAAACUGAUCCAGAGAGAACGGUGGAAUUUCUCUUCCAUCACAGUUUCCGAAAGUUCAAUAACCACGCAGCUGCUUUGAUGAUAUCCCUUAAAUUCUACCCACCGGAGUAACUUGCUGAAGGAAAACGCUAGUUUCAGAAAGUUGUCAUUCUAUAUAUACUAGAUUACGAAGUUUCAUAAUGGUUAUUUAGUUACGCCAGGCUCAUUAGCGUAUCAAGUAUUCAACUUUUCUUACUGGUACAUAUAUUGUUAUUUUUGUACGAGAGAGAGAGAGAGAGAGAUGAAUGGCCCAAUAAUUGAAUUGACGUGGAGAAGAAAGAAGUGUUUAACAGUAGUCCAUGAAGGCAGCAGCAACAACAACACAACUACAGGAUGGCUAAGAAGUCUUGUUUGGUCUAAAGAUUGUGCGAAAACGAAGUCCAUUUCCGAGCACCUUUAUCAUCCACAUUGUUAGUGGAUCACAACUUUUACAGCAAGUACGCAAGCAUAUGGACAUUACAUGCAAAUCAAUUCAUUUUACUACUAAAAUUGCAGCACCAAACCAACCGUUGCAUUACUUUGUAGAUUGCACGAAAGAUGGAAAUUGUAUUUAAAACAUACCACAAACAAAGGUGCCAUGAUAGAACUUGGAAAACAGUUAUAUAUAUAUAUAUAUAUAUAUACACACGGAAAAAGUCCAAAACAAAAGCAAGAAGGCCGGGAUGAAGUAGAAAAGAUGCUACUGCAGAUGAUGAUUUUAUCCUGUCUCGACCAAUCUCUCGAGAUUACUUGAUGUCACUCAAAACAGGAAGACACAAUGAGGUAACACAAGGACAGAUUCAAGAUUAAAGAGGCUAUAUAAACGUCUAAAACACUAUAGCAAACUUUACUACUGUCUUCUUCUCCAGAAUAUAAAACAAUGGCAAUGGCACUUUCCGCCCUCCAAAAUUGCAGCAAGGAAUCUUAGGCUAGGAAGAUUUUCAGAUGUCAAGUUGGUUGCAUCUUUGUUUGAUGCUUAAUAACGAGGAUCAGCAACCAGCCGAACAAUGCGGUAUGGUAACAAUAAUAAUAUGUUACUCUCGAGUCUCGAACAAAGAUGAUUCAGUUUUUUGUAAUGCUUGUCAUAUCCCGAUUCUUGAAAUUCUAUUCAUGUCAGAUAAAAGUAGGAGCUAAGCAAUUUGCAGCUAAAAGGUGCUACUCUCAUCUAAAUUAGCACAACAGAUAAGAAAAAUGGCGUUUUCAACUUGAAAUGCUCUCCAAACUGGACUAGCAUAUGAUUUGGCCUGAGGAAGAUAAUACAUCACAGUUCCAACCAGCAAGGACGGUAACCUGAUUGGGCUGAACACAUGAUUGUCGCACGGAACCGUGUAAAAUGACAACCACGAGAGAAAAAAUGCGAAGGUUGGUUGAAUGGGGUGCACAAAUGGGUCGCACAUGGUACAAGUGACAGUACUGCAAACUGGGGAGUCCCAUCACCUCACUUCACAGCACCUGAAUAAAAGGCUCGUCAGUAACAGUACCAAAACUCUGCGAUGUGGGUGUCAAACUGUAUGGGGGCGCCUCCUGAGUUCCCACGCCUGGGCCUGGCCAAUGGGUGAAGGUGAUUGACAGCCAAUUGAAAGUAUGGUUGGGAAGGGGGGCGGUGCUAAAGCUCUAACGAAUCGAGUUAUCUGCGAGCGUGUUUGUACAUGACCCGUUUAAAUUUAAAAAAACAUUCGAUCAUUUAAUGAAUUAACCGAGUUUGAGCGCAAUAUUAGACGCGUUUAAUAAUCGAGCAGUGGAGUACGAAUCUAAUAGUUCGUAAAUACAUUUAUAAUUAUAAAUAUAAAUAUCAAUACGUCUAAUAUUAUUAGACAUAUAUUAUAUUUUACUGAAAAAGCAAUUAUACAUAAAUUAGAAUUAUUUAUUUUUAAAAAAAAUCAAUAAAUACAACUAAACUUAUUCUAAAUAAUGCAUUAUUUAUUAAAAAUAUAAUUAAAUAAUCUUCAAAAUCAAAUAUUUACGAAUCAAAUUCAAAUAAUAUUUAUAAUUCAUUAAUAUUUGAGUCGUGCUCGAAUCUUGCUCUAGAUUGAGGCGCACACGACGUCCACACGCCCUCGCCUUGAAUUGGCUCAUUGAAAGCUCUAGGUUGCAGCGCACACGACGUCCACACGCCCUUGUUAGCAGGGACCCAUGGGUUUUUUUUUUUUUUUUUUUUUUGGUCAAAAAGAAAAAAAAAAUCCCAUUUUCAAGGGCAGUUGUCUCUAUUUGGUCUAUUAUUUGCCCUUGAAAUUUCGUUGUCUCGCAGAUGCUUCUCCUCUCUCUCAUGAUUACGCUUUUGGAUUUUUAUCCGUGAAUUUUGCAUUCUGAAGGGGGCAAUGUAUUAUGCGAAAAGGAGUAAUUGGAUACGGUGUAUGAUCAUGUAGAGGGAGGGAUAAGAUAUGGUUACUGAAUUGAGGGCCUCGAAGUGAAGUGGUGGUAAUAUGUUACUAUAUAAAAUCAUUUCUUUCCCAUCUCAGCGGGGCGGGGCGGGGCGGGGUGCUUGCGCUAGCUUUUCUUGUCUCGUCUGCCUCACCUUUUUUACCCCCCUUUUGAUUUAAUGGGGAGAAAUAAAAUUAGAAAAGCCGAAAAGAAUUGUAAAGGGCAGAAAACGUCAAACCCACAAUUGAAAGUGGACGAUAGAUAUUUUGCGUCGCAUUCUUUCGGUAACCUCAUCCCAGAUGCAAAAGUUUGCUAGAUAGUUCUUGGAUUGUGCAGCAACUGGCUCUUUGUUUUUUUGCUACUACAAGACGUGAUACCAUGACAAUAAAGUAGACAAGUGGAUCACUCCCAAGCAUUUGAGAGGCUCUUGUUGAAAGGGCAAAAAACGAAAGAAAUCCUCCAAAGGCCCUGUUGCUCGGCUUCCUAAUUUUCUUGCGCCAGGAAAAUCGUUAUAUUAUUUGGUCUCUGCACAAAAGUUAUUUGAAAGAUUUUGCACUCCAAAAGGUUCUGGCAGUGUAAAUGAAGCGAUUGACGGGACGAAAAAACCGAGGAUCGAGCAAAAUUCAAUAAUGCGUCUAGAUUAUGAGAAAAGGAGAAAUGCGCUUGAUUGCCAUCCCCUAUUAAGGUCAGCAGAAAAGGUGAAGAUGAUAGAAAGAAAGGAUCUCAGGCAGAUAAUAAAAUGAAGGCAAGGAUAAAGAUGAAGGCAUUAGAGUUUGAAUGAUCCAGGUCACUUUUGCUUGCAAGAUUGGAAUUGUUGGAAAACUAACAUCAGCAACUUUAAAGCAACACACACACACACACACACUCGCAUAUUAAAACUUGAGAGACAGAGCAACUGUUCCAGCAAUCAUGGAUUGUCUUUGGAAAAGAAAAAGGAGAAAGAAAAAAGAACCUAGAAAGGAAAUACUACUGAAAAGUUGGAACACGGAAACAACAAUGUAAAGACAGCGAUGAAGUAUGAGUCAAUAUCUGUCUCAUGAAUUUUUUGACCGUUCAGCCCACUCAACUUGGCCAACAUACAUGAAGUAGGGAGAGAGCAUUUGCCUCCAUAGGCUUUUGGCUCUGGAUGCAUACAAAGUUCCUUUUAUUAGUGGAAGACUACAUUUCAAAGUACAUUCAUAUCUUUCCCCUUAUCAUCCUCCCACCAACAUUAAUUGUAACGCGAAUUUAUACAUACCAUAGAACUUUAUAACUUGUGUGGCCAACAUUCAGUAUCAACUUAUCUAAAUCAACAAAAACCCAAGGAACAGAUGAUUAUAUAUAUAUGUAUACAUAUAAAGAAACAACAAGGAGGAGGAGAAGAGCGAGUUUUGAGUCCCAAAUAUGAUAUGGUGCAAUGCAGGAUAUUCUUUCUUAUGUUUUUAUUUUCUGUUUGGUAAAGCUAUGGGAUCAACCACCAUAAUACCCCUAUAAUCUUUUAAGCUUUCUUCCCCACUGCAAAAGCUUAGAAGAUUUGGAUUCCCCAGUUAGUACAUGUCCAAAAACUUUUUGACUGCCACGGCACACCUCAGGACUUGAUAAACUUUUACUCUUUACUUUCUGAAUUCCCCUGUAACAUAUUUCAGCAGACAAAACCAGCAAUGCAGGACAUUCUUAGUUAUGCUUUUAUUUUCUUUUUGGGAAAGCAAUGGGAUCAUCAGCCACAACACCCCUAUAAUCUUUAAACCUUUCUUUCCUACUGCAAAAGCUUAGAAGAUUUGGAUUCCCCAGUUAGUACAUGUCCAAAAACUUUUUUGACUGGCAAACCUCAGGACUUUAAAAACUUUUACUAUUUACUUUCUCCCGUAACAUAUUUCAGGAGACAAAGCCAUUCUAGUUUAGCCUUCCACUGCAUUCCAGUUAUGAAGUACCAGUUAUAUGAGAAAUCGCCAAUCCACUAAGUUAGUUUCCUCAGACAAAACUACUGUAAUAGUUCUUACUUGAGUUUUGUCCUUUUAAUUCCAUUGCAACUUACGCAUAUCUAUAUAUUAUUUGACAAGACAGCGUACUGGACAAUUCAACUUUGAUCAAGCCUUUACAAGUAAUUAAACUAAAAUGCCAGAGAAUUUUGUGGAGAAACAAGCAACUGCCUGUAUGAAUUUUUUUUUUUUUUCCCCACAUUAGAUCAGAUUAAAAGAAUCCCUCCAACUAGAAUCCUUCCAUCAAAGUGCCAUUAUAACUAUGGUCCGUGAUUUGAGAUAAUCAAAUAUAACUUUGAAAUAAAAGAAACAAAUUGUGUUAUUUUUUCCAAAAUGGAUCACAUGAAAGUGGUUGUUGAGUCAUUAAUUUUUUAUUUGUUCCACUUAUAGAAAGGACUUGUCCCACUUAUAGAAAGGACUUUCCUUCCCUUACCUCUUUCCUCCCAUGGCCUCGUUCUCCUAUAUCUUUACGUCACUGCACCUUGUUGGGCAAGAACCACUGCAGAGUAAUAAAGAUGUCAAGUUAGCUUGCUUUGCAACAACUAGCAAUUUUAAAUUGACUUCUUCAUCCGUAUUAUUCAAUUGCUUUUUUCUCUUCCAAAAACUUUCUAGCUUUUGAAUAAUGAUACUCUCCAUGAUAUUCUGUGUGCACGCAUGUGUAUGUGAUGUGAGCAUUGUUUGAUGUCACCAAUUAUCCACAACACUUAAAUUUCCAAUAUCUUUUGGACCUGCAUACAUCAGAUCAGAUACAAUUCGUAAGUCCCAAAUGACCAUAUUGGACAGAAGUAAAGGUUAGAUGUAUACAUAUAUCCGUAAGUUUUGGUAUCAAUGCAGAAAUGUAAUACAACACAACUUAUGCACGCAUUCAGCAUCAUAUUCGAGUAGUCUUGUCUUUAAGAAACUUCACUGUUUAAGAAAUGGGACCGCAACAUUUUUACCAUCCUAUAAAACCCCUCUCCUGGAUGUUUGCCUUCGCCUUCCAACACCAAUAUUAUAUGAUCAGGUCCAGAACCUUGUUACAUACAUAAAUCAAUUAACUAGCAGAAACCAUGCAGUCAGGUGAUGCAACAGAGUUGUAUUAUCUGCUUACUUCAAAUCCAACUCAAUACCCUUCUCAUUUUGGCUUGAACAACAAUAACAUGCCUUCUUUCAACCUUAGCAGAAUUUCAAACCCUUUGUGCCACCUUCAGAUCAAUCCCCAGAUUCAAGACUUCAACCCGCAGAUGGCAUCUUUCAGCUGCAAUUCAACUUCAGAUGAAGCAGAUGAUCAACAACUAAGUAUAAUAAAUGAAAGAAAGCAGAGAAGGAUGAUUUCCAAUAGAGAAUCUGCACGAAGAUCACGUAUGCGCAAGCAAAAGCAUCUUGAUGAGCUAUGGUCCCAGGUUGUUUGGCUCCGUAAUGAGAAUCAUCAGCUGAUAGAUAAACUGAACCAUGCUUCAGAAUGUCAUGAUCGUGUACUUCAAGAGAACACUCAACUCAACUUAUUAAUGCUAAGUAAAAGAGCAAAAUUAAAUAGAAAACAAAAAAGAAGGAUUUAAAAAAUCAAGAAUGGUACCAUCCAUGAAAUCACUAAAUAAAAACAAAGUAAUACUGGCCUUUUAACUUGGAAUUUUUUUUUAAAUAUUCAUUUUCGAUAAAAAUAAUGAUAAUAACAACACCAAUUCUACCAACAAAAUUUUAAAAAAUAAUAUUAUAGUUUAAGAGAAAAAUAUAGAACAUUCGACCCUAAAAUACUACUUAAUUUGUAUAUAUAUCUGGCCCAAAUUUGACCCUGAUUAGAUUUGAAUAAGAGUGUAAAACCCAAACACUAAGGAUAACUUUUGGUAUUAUUAAUUAUUUUAUGUAUUCUUAUUGUUGUCUUCAUAUGUAAAUAUGUAUUUUCUAUAUUAAAUAUAUAUACAUAUAUAUAUUGAUUGUAGUACUUGAGGAUAUUAUAGAUAUUACCAGUUUUCAUUUUCAUAUUUAGAUACUAAUAAUUGCAACCAUUGCAAUCAAUUUUCAAUUUUAUAUUUUUCAUUAUGAUAGAUAAAGUUAAAUAUAUUGGGUCGAAGGGAUAUGAAUUUAGAGAUUGGGUAUGGGGGAGGAGGAAGGGAAAAAAAUGGUGAGGAGUUGAAAAGUGGCGAGAAAGGUUGAAGAAAAAAUGUGGGUUACAAGGAUGGGCGGAAAAAGGAGAGAAGAAAAAGGGGGAUUGUCGGAAUAUAACAGAUAUGACAAAAAAAAAAAAUAGAGAGAGUGGUACCAUGAUAGAAAAUAUGAAAGUCAAGGAGGCAUCUCAUGACUAGCCAGCGGAUAAGAGAAGAGGGAAAUGAUGAUGAUUUUUAAUAAUUUUGAGAACUCUAAAAACAUAUAUUACAGAGAUUUCUUUUAAUAUAUGUUAAAGUUUAUGAAAAAUGCUAAUCUAAAUGCAGUCAACAAUCUUAGCGGUACAAGAUAGAAGAAAUAUUUUUUUCUAAAAUGGAAGAAAAUAAAUUGGUUAUAAUUUUUUAUAUUAUAAGUUUUGAUAUAUGGGUAUAACAUAAGAUGUUUUGUCAGGUACUGAUACAUUGAUUUUUUUUUAAGAAAACUCUUUUCACCUUACCACCCAACCUAACCCUCUCCUUAAAUGUGUUAACAAUUCAUCUAUCAUGUAAAUCAUUAUAAAUUAAAAUUUUUUCAAUAUGUCAAGCAUACACUUCUUUAAAAUUUUUAGUCUAUAUAUAUAUAUAUUAUUCUGUACCACAAUAUAUAAAGAUAUACAAUAUUAUUUUGAUUUGAAAUAUAAUCCCGUGCAUAGCACGGGUCAAAAUACUAGUGCUAAAGAACCGAAAGAAGGGUCAUCGCGUCGGUUUCUAGGAAACUUCGAGGAACGGGCGAAGAACAACGGACGGAAAAGAAGUCAAGGCCUGAAGGGUCAUCUGCAUCUUCUUUGCUAGGACUAGGAAACUUGGAAGAAAUUGCCAAUCUGUCUUUGUAGGAAGUAUAAAAAUUUCGCACUGGCCUAGCCCAGAAAAACAAUUGACACACACAAAAAACACAAACACAAACUGGGGAGAGAGAUUUGGAAGUAGAUAGCAUUUCCAAGAUGGUGGAGAUGGAAGAAGUAAAAUCACCAAAAUCAUCAACCACAGACCAAUUACCAUUCAGCAGCCCCACCAGGUGGGGAUGCGAGGAAUAUAUUCUGUUCAUUUCUUACGUCAUAGGCAUGUCGGUAAGGUAUCUGCCGGCGGAGGACAUCGACGGUUACCCCAUUCCGACCAUCAUCUUCAAAGGUCAACCGAAGACAUACCAGACUUUUUUGUUGGGAAUCGUGGGAGCCUUCAGUUUCUCAAUUGCUACCAUCUACAUACGCCAGCCCACUCCAAAGCUGGCUGCCUAUGUCAGACGAUUUGCUAUUUUCUCCAUGGCCUCUUCGCUAUCGCUUGCAUUGUGGGCUGCCGGUCCGGCCCAUUGGAUACUACCCCUUUAUAAUUGACAACUUCCUCCGUACCAUCAUCAGCACCACCUCUUUUUUUUUUUUUUUUUUUACCCUUUUUCCAGUCUUUCUUUUGUGCUUUGAAGUCUGCCGAGAUAACGAAAAUAUGUGUUUGGAUGGGGGUUUAUUUGAAAUAAUUAUUAUAAUAUAUUUUGUAAUGGGAUAUAUGUGAGAUAAAAAAUAAUUAAAAAAAUAAAGAAAUGUAUUGAAAUUUGUAUUGCAAAUUAUUUUUUCUCAAAUCAUUCCAAUCCAAACACUUAUAACUAGCCAAACACAAACCUUGUAUUUAGAGAAAUCGUGCAAUCGGCUUUCAAAUUAUUACUUUUGUAUGUUUUCCACCCUUCAUUUAUUUUAUAUAAUAAUUAAGCCUCUAUGUAAGAAUUUGGCCCUUCUUGUACCCAAAAAAAAAAAAAAAAAAACAAACCGUUUGACCUCACUACACCACAGCCUUACACUAGCUUUAUUAUUCCUAGAAUUGAAAAAAAUAUAUAUAUAUAUAUAAAGGAUAAGAAAUCCAGUCAAGAGCUUACCGAUGCCUAAUGAACUGAGAAACCAUAAUUUGUUCUGUAUGGAUACAAAUGAGCUAUAUAUAGAUAUAUAUGGUCGUCUAUUAGUAGCAUUUUAGUUAUUUGUUGAUAGACAUGACUAUAUGAGAAACUUGAAUGAAGUACAUGAACAAGUGCUGCCAAUUAGGGAUGGCAAUUGGGUCCAAAUUGACUUAACGGGUUGGGUUGAGAUCCGGGUAUAAUAGAAAAUCCGCUGACCUGCAUCAAACCCGUCAACUCGAAACAGGUC